rnacentral:rRNA from 1 species
CAUGCAAGUCGCACGAGAAAGUGGAGCAAUCCAUGAGUAAAGUGGCGUACGGGUGAGUAACACGUGGAUCAUCUACCUUUUAGUGGGGAAUACCUCUGGGAAACCGGAGAUAAUACCGCAUAAGCUCGUAAGAGGAAAGCAGCAAUGCGCUGAAAGAGGAGUCCGCGGCUGAUUAGCUAGUUGGCGGGGUAACGGCCCACCAAGGCGAAGAUCGGUAGCCGGCCUGAGAGGGCACACGGCCACACUGGCACUGAAACACGGUCCAGACUCCUACGGGAGGCAGCAGUGGGGAAUCUUGCACAAUGGAGGAAACUCUGAUGCAGCGACGCCGCGUGAGCGAUGAAGCCCUUCGGGGUGUAAAGCUCUUUCGACGGGAACGAUAAUGACGGUACCCGGAGAAGAAGCUGCGGCUAACUACGUGCCAGCAGCCGCGGUAAUACGUAGGCAGCGAGCGUUGUUCGGAAUUACUGGGCGUAAAGAGUGUGUAGGCGGUGCUCCAAGUCUGUUGUGAAAUCUCCCGGCUUAACCGGGAGGGUGCAGCGGAAACUGGAAUGCUUGAGGGUGGGAGAGGAAAGCGGAAUUCCCGGUGUAGCGGUGAAAUGCGUAGAUAUCAGGAGGAACACCUGUGGUGUAGACAGCUUUCUGGACCACUUCUGAC